rnacentral:rRNA from 1 species
UACGUAGGUGGCAAGCGUUAUCCGGAAUUAUUGGGCGUAAAGCGCGCGCAGGCGGUUUCUUAAGUCUGAUGUGAAAGCCCACGGCUCAACCGUGGAGGGUCAUUGGAAGCUGGGGAACUUGAGUGCAGAAGAGAAAAGCGGAAUUCCACGUGUAGCGGUGAAAUGCGUAGAGAUGUGGAGGAACACCAGUGGCGAAGGCGGCUUUUUGGUCUGUAACUGACGCUGAGGCGCGAAAGCGUGGGGAGCAAACAGG